rnacentral:rRNA from 1 species
UACAGAGGUCUCAAGCGUUGUUCGGAUUCAUUGGGCGUAAAGGGUGCGUAGGCGGCGCGGUAAGUCGGGUGUGAAAUCUCGGGGCUUAACUCCGAAACUGCAUUCGAUACUGCCGUGCUUGAGGACUGGAGAGGAGACUGGAAUUUACGGUGUAGCGGUGAAAAUUCGUAGAUAUUCGCAAGAACACCAGUGGCGAAGGCGGACUCACUGGCCCGGUACUGGACGCUGAGGCACGAAAGCGUGGGGAGCAAACAGGG